AUAGAAUUAACUUAAAAAUUAUUUUUGUUCAAGGUAUAUACGCAAAAUCAUUUACUGUAUUCUAGACGUCCUCGUUCUGAAUUCCCAAGAAUCUGAUUUGUUUAUUCUACGACCUUGUAGCAUCCUAUCUCAUAAUCGCGGAGGAGAACAACUUCAUAACAUUCAAACGGUAUAAAAGAAAUCAAGACUUCAACAUGGGUAUCGAAAAAUGUCGAAAUUUAAGGUUGCAGUUAUUUUCUUAGUCUUUUGCUUCCUAGCGUUGGAAGUAUUCGCUGGACACCCUGCCUAUGAUACCUAUCAUGGAUCUAGAGGAGGAGGACAUAGAUCUAGAGGAUUUUACGGAGGUUCUAUCACUCGGAGCCAUGCUUUUGGUAAUAGGCCUCAUGGCAGCUAUUAUAGAAGCCGUGGACACUACAGAAGAGUACACGGUCACCACUAUUGAUAAGGAAGCCAUGUGGAAUGUUACAUCCACUUUACGUUCUUUCGCUAAGCUAUCGUUCAAGACAUCGUAUCAAGAACAUUAUUAAAUUAAUUAACUUUAUAUAAGUUUACAAAAUGAUUAAUUAAGUUCAGAUGUUGAAAU